rnacentral:tRNA from 1 species
CGAUCCUUCCGUCCCAGA